GCUCCUUUGGCCUAGUGGUUAUGGCGUGGCUCUUAUGUGGUUUGCUCCGGGGUUACGGAUUCCGCAUGCCUAGCUGAAGUCCAGGGUUCGACUCCCUGAAGGAGCA
rnacentral:tRNA from 1 species